rnacentral:rRNA from 1 species
UGCCAGCCGCCGCGGUAAUACAGAGGUCCCAAGCGUUGUUCGGAUUCACUGGGCGUAAAGGGUGCGUAGGCGGCGUGGAAAGUUUGGUGUGAAAGCUCCGGGCUCAACCCGGAAAUUGCACUGAAAACUAUCAUGCUAGAGGAUUGGAUGGGAGACUGGAAUUCUUGGUGUAGCAGUGAAAUGCGUAGAUAUCAAGAGGAACACCAGUGGCGAAGGCGAGUCUCUGGACAAAUCCUGACGCUGAGGCACGAAGGCUAGGGGAGCAAACAGGAUUAGAUA